UGUCAAAUGAUGAGAAACAUAACUGCAACAAAAUGAUCGAAUUCAUACAUUCGUUCGUGAUUACUAGUAUUUAAGUCUCUGAUGAUA